GGAGAGAUGGCCGAGUGGCUGAAGGCGCUCGCCUGCUAAGCGAGUAGGCUGGGAAACCGGCCUCGAGGGUUCGAAUCCCUCUCUCUCCGCCA
rnacentral:tRNA from 2 species